CCUACGGGAGGCAGCAGUGAGGAAUAUUGGUCAAUGGGCUUACGCCUGAACCAGCCAAGUCGCGUGAGGGAAGACUGCCCUAUGGGUUGUAAACCUCUUUUGUCAGGGAGCAAUUGGCGCUACGUGUAGCGUUAUCGAGAGUACCUGAAGAAAAAGCAUCGGCUAACUCCGUGCCAGCAGCCGCGGUAUUACGGAGGAUGCGACCGUUAUCCGGAUUUUUUGGGUUUAAAGGGUGCGUAGGCGGAAUGCAAAGUCAGCGGUAAAAUCGCGGGGCUAAACCUCGCAUCGCCGUUGAAACUGGCGUUCUUGAGUGGGCGAGAAGUAUGCGGAAUGCGUGGUGUAGCGGUGAAAUGCAUAGAUAUCACGCAGAACUCCGAUUGCGAAGGCAGCAUACCGGCGCCCAACUGACGCUGAAGCACGAAAGCGUGGGUAUCGAACAGGAUUAGAUACCCGGGUAGUC
rnacentral:rRNA from 1 species